CCGAGGACCUGAGAAGCGCGAGACCUGUGGCCGGGUUCUUUUGUGUGCGCGCCGUGGCCUCCGGAGCCGGCUGACUGCAGCCUGGUCAGUGGGGGCUUUUGAAAGGCGGCACCGGCCUGACCAACCCCUAGACCUCAUUCUGCCCAUAAGUUUUGAGCAUUUACUAAUUAUAAAGCGGUACUCUGGAGAGCCGAAACUGUUACUGAUGCGGUCCCCCGUGCUUAAAAAAGAGCUGCUCCAGUCUGAUGGCUUCCAAUACCAUCUGUUUACCUGAAGACUCCUGACUUGGUAACUCUAGUCUGACCCUGGGAUGCAAACAGUAUUAAACUCCAGACCUGUAUAUAUCCAAUUGUUUAUUCAGCUGCCAUUUGCAUGUGUGCCAGACAUCCUGAACCCAACCUGCACCACAGAGGAAUUGCUGACAUUCACCCAACCUGUUCCUUCAACAGUCUUCAUCCCAGCAGUUGAUGGCAACUCCUUCUUUCUAGUUGCUCAGGGCCAAAAAUCUGACUUUGUGUCUUUUUUCACCCCAAAUCCAAACCCAAUCCAACUCUGAA